rnacentral:rRNA from 1 species
ACGGGUGAGUAACGCGUGAGUAACCUGCCCCUGACUUUGGGAUAAGCCUGGGAAACCGGGUCUAAUACCGGAUACGACCUGCUCCGGCAUCGGGGUUGGUGGAAAGUUUUUUCGGUCAGGGUUGGGCUCGCGGCCUAUCAGCUUGUUGGUGGGGUGAUGGCCUACCAAGGCGACGACGGGUAGCCGGCCUGAGAGGGCGACCGGCCACACUGGGACUGAGACACGGCCCAGACUCCUACGGGAGGCAGCAGUGGGGAAUAUUGCGCAAUGGGCGGAAGCCUGACGCACCGACGCCGCGUGGGGGAUGACGGCCUUCGGGUUGUAAACCUCUUUCAGCAGGGACGAAGUUGACGUGUACCUGUAGAAGAAGCGCCGGCUAACUACGUGCCAGCAGCCGCGGUAAUACGUAGGGCGCAAGCGUUGUCCGGAAUUAUUGGGCGUAAAGAGCUCGUAGGUGGCGUGUCCCGUCUGCCGUGAAAGCCCAUGGCUUAACUGUGGGUCUGCGGUGGAUACGGGCAGGCUGGAGGCUGGUAGGGGCAAGCGCAAUUCCUGGUGUAGCGGUGAAAUGCGCAGA